CCUGACCAUUCUAUUCUGUGUCUGAUGAGACAAGAAAAUUAAGAGGUGAAGAGGUUAAGUAACUUGCCAAAGGGCAACGCAGCUAGAAAGCUGAAGAAAGAACAUGCACAUAGGUCUGAGAAACCUCAUCGAUCAAAAUCAGACAUUUGCCGCUUCAAAUGGCUCUGGAGAAAAACCCCUAACCAACAUGUAAAUAGCAGAAACCACAGCAAAGAGAGCGAGAGAGAGAAGAGUGACCAACCCAGCCUCAGUCAGCCUUGGAUGAAGGGCACAUGUGUGCCCUGUGUGUUAAAGAUCUCCAGCUCUAACCUGAAGCCGUCCAAUGUGGGUCAGCCUCCCAGAGUAAGACGUCUUACUGCUGCACCACCAUCCAGGCCCCUUCACCUUAUGUAAAUGUCUCAACAACCGUACGAAGAACAACUACUAUUGCCACUGGUUUAGGAGUAAAAAAGGGAGCCACCGGAUUAACUAACCUAUAAGGAAGGGUAACUUCCCUCUACCAAGGGUGCUGGGAUUCAAAACCAAGUGGACUUAAUCCAGUGUUUACCCUCGUGCCUGUUACCCCGGGGCUCUCCACCUAAAGUAUGUGUGCAUCGGAAUCACCUAGAAGGCUGCCGUCCCAGGAACUGUGCAGUGAGCUGACCCAGGGUCGUGGCGGCACAGAUAAAGAUGGCGGUACAACUGAGAGUUCGCACCUGAGCACAGCAGUCUAUCAGAAUCACAGAGACAACCAUGAAUUUAAA